GACCUUCAAGCACUGUGGCUGCUGCCACGAGCCUUAUCAUUACAGAGUUGUUACUUCCUCCUUUAAGGGACUGAGCUGGAGAUUAAUGGAAGCCUGUGCUGGCACUUUAGGAUGAACUUUGUUAUUUUCAGUGCACUAAACAAAUCCUAACACACAGGUGAUUAUCAAUUGCCUCAGACUGAAAAUAAAUGAGUGCCUCCCCUUUUUUUUUUUGAGCUCAGAGGCAGAGCUUCACAAUUUCAUGGGAUGUCACAGGACUGAACUGCAUUUUCUCAUAACUGAGGAUGAAUUUAAUGAUGAUAAAAGGGAAAAAGAGUGGCACUGGCUUGAUUUUUUGAGGUGAAAGCUGUGCAUGGGGGAGUUAUUCCUGGGACUGCCUGGUCUGCCAAGGGACCAAGGUUUUUGAUUGGACUUACGGCCUGAGAUUUACAGCAAGGAAUUCCCCCACCGGGUGCUGGUCAUAAUCAGAUGUUUGGGAGAUGCUUUUUGCCUCACAGGAGCAGCUCUGAUGGACACUGAGCCAGUGGUGGGAGCACAUGGAGAUUCGUGCUCCGAAUCCCUGGUGACCACCUUUUAACAGUGGAGAAGUGUCCAAACCUCUCUGAUGUCACCACAUCACAACAGGCAACAAGGUUUUUCAUGUUCUGACUGGUCUAUAAGAUGCUUGACAGAUUUUUUUUUUCUUUUAUUAUUCAAAAUGUAUGAGAGAAUCAUAGAACCAGAGAAUGGUUUGGGUUGGAAGGGACUUUAAAGACCAUCUUGUUCCAGCCCUUCCUGCCAUGGGCAGGGACACCUUCCACUAGAUCAGGUUGCUCCAAACCCCAUCCAACCCGGCCUUAAACACUGCCAUUUGAUAUUCACUUAAUAUUUUAUCUCUUUAUUGUGUUAUUUACCUGCAGUACUUAAAUCUGGUUUCUAACCCAAUUCUGAAAGCUUGUUUGUGUGUUAUAAACACUUUAAUAAGGUGUUUGUGUAUUACAAUAAAGCUUUUCUGUGUGUGCUAUUAACACUUUAAUAAAUGCUUUCUCAUGUCAA